rnacentral:rRNA from 1 species
GAUGAACGCUAGCGGCAGGCCUAACACAUGCAAGUCGAGGGGUAGAGUUCUUCGGGACUUGAGACCGGCGCACGGGUGCGUAACGCGUAUGCAAUCUACCUUAUACAGGGGAAUAGCCCAGAGAAAUUUGGAUUAAUGCCCCAUAGUGUUAUCGAAUCGCAUGGUUUGAUAACUAAAGUUCCAACGGUAUAAGAUGAGCAUGCGUCCAUUAGUUAGUUGGUAAGGUAACGGCUUACCAAGACAAUGAUGGGUAGGGGUCCUGAGAGGGAGAUCCCCCACACUGGUACUGAGACACGGACCAGACUCCUACGGGAGGCAGCAGUGGGGGAAUAUUGGACAAUGGGCGCAAGCCUGAUCCAGCCAUGCCGCGUGCAGGAUGACGGUCCUAUGGAUUG